ACAAUGAAGAGUUUGAUCCUGGCUCAGGAUGAACGCUAGCUACAGGCUUAACACAUGCAAGUCGAGGGGCAUCAGGAAGAAAGCUUGCUUUCUUUGCUGGCGACCGGCGCACGGGUGAGUAACACGUAUCCAACCUGCCCUUUACUCGGGGAUAGCCUUUCGAAAGAAAGAUUAAUACCCGAUGGGAUAAUGAUUCCGCAUGGUUUCAUUAUUAAAGGAUUCCGGUAAAGGAUGGGGAUGCGUUCCAUUAGGUUGUUGGUGAGGUAACGGCUCACCAAGCCUUCGAUGGAUAGGGGUUCUGAGAGGAAGGUCCCCCACAUUGGAACUGAGACACGGUCCAAACUCCUACGGGAGGCAGCAGUGAGGAAUAUUGGUCAAUGGGCGUGAGCCUGAACCAGCCAAGUAGCGUGAAGGAUGACUGCCCUAUGGGUUGUAAACUUCUUUUAUAUUAGAAUAAAGUGCAGUAUGUAUACUGU
rnacentral:rRNA from 1 species